rnacentral:rRNA from 1 species
GGGGGGAAACCCUGAUGCAGCCAUGCCGCGUGUGUGAAGAAGGCCUUCGGGUUGUAAAGCACUUUCAGUAGGGAGGAAGGUAGUGUAGUUAACACCUGCACUAUUUGACGUUACCUACAGAAGAAGCACCGGCUAACUCCGUGCCAGCAGCCGCGGUAAUACGGAGGGUGCGAGCGUUAAUCGGAAUUACUGGGCGUAAAGCGCAUGCAGGCGGCCUGUUAAGUCAGAUGUGAAAGCCCGGGGCUUAACCUCGGAAUUGCAUUUGAAACUGGCAGGCUAGAGUCUUGUAGAGGGGGUAGAAUUUCAGGUGUAGCGGUGAAAUGCGUAGAGAUCUGAAGGAAUACCAGUGGCGAAGGCGGCCCCCUGGACAAAGACUGACGCUCAGAUGCGAAAGCGUGGGGAGCAAACAGGAUUAGAUACCCUGGAG